CUACUGGCUAGUCUCGUAGCUUGCUAGGUACUCCCUCUGUCCCAAAAUAAACAAAGCUAGUACGGGGAUGUGGCACUUCCUAGUCCUGUACUAGGUUUGUUUAUUUUGGGACGGAGGGAGUAUCAUAGUUUGUUACUCCU
rnacentral:miRNA from 1 species